rnacentral:rRNA from 1 species
UACGGGGGGAGCAAGCGUUGUUCGGAUUUACUGGGCGUAAAGGGCGCGUAGGCGGGCAUUCAAGUCGGUGGUGAAAUCCUCCAGCCUAACUGGAGAAGAGCUGUCGAUACUGGAUGUCUCGAGGGGUGCAGGGGUCUGCGGAACUUCGGGUGGAGCGGUGAAAUGCGUAGAGAUCCGAAGGAACGCCGGUGGCGAAAGCGGCGGACUGGGCACCUUCUGACGCUGAGGCGCGAAAGCCAGGGGAGCAAACGGG